GGGCGACAGAACUGCGGCCUACUUUUAACAACUCAUAAACGACAAUAUUCCAGGUUAGUUGAAAUACAAAAAUGUUGGAAACGUAUAUUAUAAAUUCACAAAUGUGUCUUAAGAUGUUCUCCCUCCAGAAAAGAGCUAUGUCUCCAUUUAAAGGUGAAAUACUUUCUCAAUCCCAGUUUAAAGUAAAGAGUCAGCUACAAGGAAGAGCUGACUGUGGCAUCAUUUGAGAGCGUAAUGUCUGCCUGUGCGGCCCAGACAGAGAGACAGGGCUUCCCCCUGACACCAGCAUUGAUUCUCCCAUUGAAAGACUCUCCUUUCUUUCCUGUAGUAUUGAUGAAUGAUUCAUGAGGCUGCACAACGAGUGGAACUUGGCAGUGCACUUUGGACAGAGAGAUUGUGUGAGGAUCACACGGGCAGAGAUUAGCCAAUGCACCUAUUUUCAGAGACGGCUCGUGGCCGUGGACCCGUGAGGGGCAUCAGUAUAAAAUCUCCUUAAUAUGUUGGGCUCAUUAGCUUUUAAUGUUUUUAUAAUGGCCAGAUGCUUGAGCCUCAUGUACACCAAAGCAAAAGGCCCCUGGAUAGUAUUUAUGCAACUGAAUUAGCUCCUACAGGAGACCAGACCUUCUUGUUGUUGUACCACUUUUUUUUUGUGCUGCAUUAUAACAGUAACAUUGAUGAAUUAUUUGUUUUUUGUCUCAGUUAUUGAGGUACAAUGAAAUCUGAAGUGUGCAUGUGUGUGUAUGAAAAUACUUGUUUGCUUAUUUGCUUUUAUGUUUGUUUUUUGGACGGUUAUUUGUUAAUUAAUUAAUUAAUUAUUUUUUUAUUAAUUAAUAAUUCAAAAAAUUAUUAUCAGC
ensembl:lncRNA